CUCUUAUCAAGAGUGGGUGAGGGACGGGCCCGAUGACCCCCGGCAACCUGCCAGUCAGGUAAGGUGCCAACCCCCGCGGGAUGUAGUUCCGGCGGAUAAGAG
rnacentral:ncRNA from 1 species